UACGAAGGGUGCAAGCGUUACUCGGAAUUACUGGGCGUAAAGCGUGCGUAGGUGGUUUGUUAAGUCUGAUGUGAAAGCCCUGGGCUCAACCUGGGAACGGCAUUGGAAACUGGCUUACUAGAGUGCGGUAGAGGGAAGUGGAAUUUCCGGUGUAGCGGUGAAAUGCGUAGAUAUCGGAAGGAACAUCAGUGGCGAAAGCGACUUCCUGGACCAAUACUGACGCUCAUGUGCGAAAGCGUGGGGAGCAAACAGG
rnacentral:rRNA from 1 species